rnacentral:rRNA from 1 species
UACGUAGGGCGCAAGCGUUGUCCGGAAUCAUUGGGCGUAAAGCGCGCGUAGGUGGCUUCGUAAGUCCGUUGUGAAAGUCAAAGGCUCAACCUUUGAAAGCCGAUGGAUACUGUGAAGCUAGAGUACGGAAGAGGCGAGUGGAAUUCCUGGUGUAGCGGUGGAAUGCGCAGAUAUCAGGAGGAACACCAAUAGCGAAGGCAGCUCGCUGGGACGUUACUGACACUGAGGCGCGAAAGCGUGGGGAGCAAACAGG